rnacentral:tRNA from 1 species
AGAAAGUUAGUCUAACCAAGAUAGUCGGUUUCGGCCCGACAGAUUAUAGUACCCACCCUAUAACUUUCUU